GCCGGGCGGGAGCGGCGUGGCGUGGCCUGAGGCGCCCCGAGUCCGUGCCUGCGGUAGCGGCGGCUGACCGAGCCGGGGCCGAUCGGAGCCCAUCGGGAAGGCGGAAGGGGCCUUGGCAGGCGAAACGAGAGCCGCGCUGAAGCCGCAUCCCUCUCUCCUCAGGCAGGAGCGGGGUCCCCUCCCGCCGGCGCGGCGCGUUACCCCUCGGAGCAGCCCGAGCAGAGCGCGCUCCGUGCGACCGCGUGCCGACAUGGAAGGGAUCGCCGCGUCCGACCGCGGCCCACACAGGACCGCCCAGCGCUCCGUCUGAGAGCAUCGCUCCAAUGCUCCUUCAGCUCCGGGCCGUGCCCACCGCCCCCCCCACAGCACAGCUCAGGUGGGGUUGGGACGGGAGGGGCUGCCAUUGCCCCGGGCUGCGGCUGCAGAGCGCAGAGGAGCGGCGCCCAUCGCCAGGAGGGCCGCGCGUGACCUUGCAGCUCCAUGUUCUGUACAGUCACAGAGCGGCCUGGGUUGAAAAGGACCGCAGCGCUCAUCCAGGCCGUGCCCUCAGGAGGAAGCACAGCACGGGCUGCUCAGCCGCCUCCCCGCCCCACAAAGAACCUGUGAAACCUUUUCAUUACCGUCGUACACAGACCAAGAGGUUAUACGGACCUGCAGCACUGCUGAGGCUACAGGUUAACACCGUGCACAUGUGUGUGUGCUGACAGCACGGGCAGCAACCAACCCCCCCACGUGCUGACACACCAGUGUGAGCGCAGCAGAGCCCUCAGGCCAGGGCUCACUUCUUUGAGAGAACAACAGCCCAUGGGUUGCUGCUCCUGCCUCCCUGGCAGCUGUUCUCAGCAUAACACGCAUCACCUGAUUUAACUUUUCCUUCCCCAAUUCAAUAAUUUAAGCUUAUAGAGGAGGCUAAGAACAACACAUUAAAAAAUAAAGAAUGUAACCGAGAGAUGUGUUCAAAGUGUGACAGGGAGAAGAAUUCAUUCACGAAGGCCAGCUCUGCUCAAUGAUUCAGGAGCCCGGAGGCUGUGAGAUGCUGAUCUGCUGCAGUGGCACCACAGGCCCAGAGCUGAGAAGGUUGCACACACAGGGACAGAAAAGGAAGAAGUGCAAUGAAGAGAGGUGACCAUGUAAGGGGACAAGGAGACAGCAUAUCAAGCGGGAAACUUUGGUUGCUAGAAGCAGCAGUGGGCAACUGCUGUUCUCAGUCUACAGCGUGUUCAGCAGACCAAUCCCAAGCACGGAGUGCCAGGGCAGGCUACCACAGAUCACACCAAAAGGCAUCUCAUGUGAGGGCAGCAGCAGUGACCCACAGAUGGGAUGGAUGGACCCUAAUCUCACAGCAAGUACAUUCCUUCCAUGCUCAAAUCCAGCACAAAUUCCAGAAACCCACUGCUGCUACAGCUGGUCACCGCUCCUGCACAGAGGCUCUUGGGCAGUUAACAGACUCGUAUUUUCCACCAAAGGCCAGGAUACUAAGAACUCCACAUUGGGUACUUUUCUGCUUUUAUUUAAAAAAAAUCCAGAAUGGAUCCAAUAACAGUUUUAUUAUCCAGGAAAUUGUUUUGCCAUAAGCAAAGAACAGACACAGGAUGGAGCAGAAGGCUCAGACAAGUAAAGUAUGCAACUUCCACAUGGCCUCUUCUGUAAGAAAUGUUACAACUACAUUU